GUUUGUGUGGGAGUUUUAGCAGUCUUGCUAACGCUUAGCUAGCUGUCGAACUGCCGAGGAGGAGCUAACCGUAACGGAUGCAGCCAUUUUCAGCCGUUAACGACCAGUCGGACCGCUGGUGGGUCGCUGCAGCAUGACGUAACAUGGAGUAAGGUGUGGAGACACAGAGAGGUGAAUGAAGAGGAGAUAAACAGGUGGAAAGACACAUGAGGGAGAGGCAGAAGGCUUCAGCUUUCCUGCAUGACUGAACACACACAAUGCAGCUGUCCGAGUGACCCG